rnacentral:pre_miRNA from 1 species
AUGUAGGGCAAUCUAUUAGUAGGGAUAUAUUACUAUAAAGAAAAUGAUACUAGAUAGUUUCCCCUUCAGAUUCAUGCUAU